rnacentral:rRNA from 1 species
UACGUAGGGUCCGAGCGUUGUCCGGAAUUAUUGGGCGUAAAGGGCUCGUAGGCGGUUUGUCGCGUCGGGAGUGAAAACACGGGGCUUAACCCCGUGCCUGCUUCCGAUACGGGCAGACUAGAGGUAUGCAGGGGAGAGCGGAAUUCCUGGUGUAGCGGUGAAAUGCGCAGAUAUCAGGAGGAACACCGGUGGCGAAGGCGGUUCUCUGGGCAUUACCUGACGCUGAGGCGCGAAAGCUAGGGGAGCGAACAGG